AUUUUGCAGAGAAAGAAUUUUUUCAUACAGGACUAUACAUGUUCUAUGUGUCACUCAUAGUACUUUGAGACCAGAGACCACCUGUUCUUCACAUGUCCCUUUGCCAAACUCUGCUGGACCUACAUUUGCCCCAGUUGGACUCCAAUUCAGCUUGGCAUCCAGGAAGAAGUUGAUCACCUCAAACAGCUACUCAAUGUCCCCUUUGCUAUGGAAAUCAUUAUCUUGGUUUGCUGGGCUGUUUGGACUACAAGGAAUGAUUUCAUUUUUAAAGGGGUUCCACCAAACAUAUACAACUGCAGGAAGAAGUUCAGAGAGGAGCUAAAGUGGAUCAGCUGUAGGGCCGAAAGGAAAGCAUACAGUCUUUUGGAGACUGGAUUAAUGCCUUCAGAUAAAACCAAAGGCAGCUCGGAUGUAGCUCGAUCUCUUAUGUAA
rnacentral:rRNA from 1 species